ACGGCGCGCUUGUUUACACACGUGUACACAUGCUCGCUCUUCAGGUGUAAAAACCCGUGUGUACGUCCCUUCUGCGUGUGCAAUACGGAUGUGAGCGCAUGCAUGAACGUCCGCUGGUGUCGGCGAGAGGUGUCAGCCGCAGGGAGGACCGGGGCAGGAGGCGAGGAGGCGAGGAGGAGGGCCGGCUGGGAGGAGACUUGGGGGCUAAGCCAAGAUGGCGAUCCUAGGCUCUGGCGUGUACAGCAGUGUGCCAGAUUAUCCUUAGAUAUUAUGGGUUCAAACAGCAAUAGAUCCAAUGCCUAAUCUUCACUACAUAUCAUAACUGUACAUAGCCAAGUUGCCAGCAAUGGAUCACAGCUAUGUGAGUCGCCAAAUACCCCAGUAGACCAG